CGUAAGGGCUCGCAGGCGGUUUCUUAAGUCUGAUGAGAAAGCCCCCGGCUCAACCGGGGAGGGUCAUUGGAAACUGGGAAACUUGAGUGCAGAAGAGGAGAGUGGAAUUCCACGUGUAGCGGUGAAAUGCGUAGAGAUGUGGAGGAACACCAGUGGCGAAGGCGACUCUCUGGUCUGUAACUGACGCUGAGGAGCGAAAGCGUGGGGAGCGAACAGGAUUAGAUACCCUGGUAGUCCACGCCGUAAACGAUGAGUGCUAAGUGUUAGGGGGUUUCCGCCCCUUAGUGCUGCAGCUAACGCAUUAAGCACUCCGCCUGGGGAGUACGGUCGCAAGACUGAAACUCAAAGGAAUUGACGGGGGCCCGCACAAGCGGUGGAGCAUGUGGUU
rnacentral:rRNA from 1 species